UCCUAGCCCCGAUAGCAGUGAAAAUCCUUUUCUCUCGUUCUUUUACGAGAGAAAAGAUUGAAACAAAUAGCGGGAAACAGC
rnacentral:sRNA from 1 species